AACGAACGCUGGCGGCAUGCCUAACACAUGCAAGUCGAACGAGACCUUCGGGUCUAGUGGCGCACGGGUGCGUAACGCGUGGGAACCUGCCCUUAGGUUCGGAAUAACUCCCCGAAAGGGGUGCUAAUACCGGAUAAUGUCUUCGGACCAAAGAUUUAUCGCCUUUGGAUGGGCCCGAGUUGGAUUGGCUAGUUGGUAGGGUACACGCCUACCAAGGCGACGAUCCAUAACUGGUCUGAGAGGAUGAUCAGCCACACUGGGACUGAGACACGGCCCAGACUCCUACGGGAGGCAGCAGUGGGGAAUAUUGGACAAUGGGCGAAAGUCUGAUCCAGCAAUGCCGCGUGAGUGAUGAAGGCCUUAGGGUUGUAAAGCUCUUUUACCCGGGAUGAUAAUGACAGUACCGGGAGAAUAAGCUCCGGCUAACUCCGUG
rnacentral:rRNA from 1 species